AUGGGGAGUACGAACGCAAGGCUGAAAAUCAAGGGAAUUGACUGGGACCAGCACAGGCGGCGGKGCAUGUGGUUUAAUUCGAGGCAACGCGAGGCACCUUGCCKKGUCUUGACAUCCUCUGACAAUCUGAGAGAUCGACUUUCCUUCGGGGACAGUGAGACGGGUGGUGCAUGGUUGUCGUCKGCUCGUGUCGUGUGUUGUUGGGUUGAGUCCCGCGACGAGCGCAACBCCUGUGGUUAGUUGCCAUCAUUUUGUUGGGCACUCUAAGCUGACUGCCGUGGAUAACACGGUGGAKGGUGGGGACGACGUCAAAUCKUCAUGCKCCUUAUGKCCUGGGCUACACACGUGCUACAUUGGUCUGAACKGGKGGCUGCGAAACCGCGUGGUGAAGCUUAUCCCUUAAAACKGUUCUCUGUUUGGUUUGCUGGCUGCUAKUKGCCUGCAUGAGGUUGGAAUCGCUKGUAGUCCBKGKUCUGCAUGCCGGGGUGAAUACGUUBCCGGGCCUUGUACACUCCGCCCGUCACUCCACGAAAGUCGGUUUACCUGAAGUCGCCGGUCUAABCCUUGGKKGUUGGKGCUAGGUGGGUGUGUGGGGGGUGUGGGGUGUGUGUGGAGUC
rnacentral:rRNA from 1 species